AGAGUUUAUCCGUGGCUCUGAUUGAACGCUGGCGGCAAGCCUAACACACGCAAGUCGAGCGGCAUGGAGAGAAAACUUGCUUUCUUGUCGGCGAGCGGCAAACGGGUGAGUUAUAUCUGGGAAUCUACCCAAAAGAGGGGGAUUACUACUAGAAAUGGUAGCUAAUACCGCAUAAAUCUGAAAAACCAAAUUGGGGGACCUUUCUAGGCCUCAUGCUUUUGGAUGAACCCAUAUGAGAUUAGCUUGUUGGUAAGGUAAAGGCUUACCUAGGCUACGAUCUCUAGCUGGUCUGAGAGGAUAACCAGCCACACUGGAACUGAGACACGGUCCAGACUCCUACGGGAGGCAGCAGUGGGGAAUAUUGCACAAUGGGCGAAAGCCUGAUGCAGCUAUGCCGCGUGUAUGAAGAAGGCCUUAGGGUUGUAAAGUACUUUCAGCGGGGAGGAAAAAAAUAAAGUUAAUAAGUUUAUUUUUUGACGUUACCUGAAGAAGAAGCACCGGCUAACUCCGUGCCAGCAGCCGCGGUAAUACGGAGGGUGCUAGCGUUAAUCAGAAUUACUGGGCGUAAAGAUCACGAAGGGGGUGUGCUAAGUCGGAGUGAAAUUCCUG
rnacentral:rRNA from 1 species